UCAAUGCUGUCAGAAGGGAACACCAGCCAUGAAGAGCCAAGUGGCGAUCUGAUUCCACACGAACUUGCUUCUCCUUGCAACUCAUCACUGCAAUUGCAAAAACAAGACCACAAAACAACACACACAUCCAGUAGCAGAGCAAAACUGAUCAAAUAGAGAACUGUCACUCACAUUUCAAAAUCUUUGCAGAAUUCCUUUGCUAAAUAUAGGCGGGUGAGCCUGGCUUGAAGGAAGGGCCGGUACCCUCAGACAGGACAGAUGGGGAAUGCAGAGCCUCCAACCCCAGUGAAAGGGACUUUGGCAACAUCUAAUAGAGUGAUAUAUCUAUUAGUUCUCUGAUUCAGCAAGCUCACUUCGAGGACUCUAUUCCAAAGAUCUAUUGAAAACAGCAUGCAAUGACUUAACGUGCCGUUAUUUAUUAUAAGAUCAUUGAAUGCCAACAUAUUUAGGCAUUACAAAAUGGUCUUCCAUGGGGGAAGAGGGGGUAACACAAUGAAUACAUGGCGCCUGUGCCUCGUAACGAAAUAACAGGAUGUGUAAAAAGAAGAGAGGAAAAUUAUCAACCACUGCAAAGGUGAAAGCUCCUGGAUGUUUUGUACCGUGAAAAAAGUUUAGUGGAGACUGUGUUCUAUUUUAUGCUACACGUGGCGUUAGAACACGUUAGGCAUGUUAUGAACUGGAACAUCUUUGCAAAAAAAAACACUAGAAAGAUAAACCAAAAGCAAGAAUGGUGGCCUAUAAGUGAAAGGCAGUACGUGUGGAAGGUAGACUUCUUGAAAUAGGUCUUUUGUAUGUAUUUACAACCUUGUAAACACAUAGUGUUACAUAUGUUUUACAUAUUCAAAAAAUUAACUUAAAAAUAUGAAACAGCAAUUUAUACAGUUAAAAAAUGAACUGAAAUGAACGAAGCUAGGUGCCCAUCUAUUGGUAGAAAAAAUAAUUUGGGGGUGUGAGUUUAUAAAAUAUAUAAUGUUAUUAUAAUAGAACUGCCUUUGCAGAAUGUAUAUUAGGGACACAUAAAACUAUAAACAAGUGUUCAAUUUCAUUCCAUGGUUUAAUUCCUCAAAAACACUGGCAUUAGGGAACUAUUUUAUAUAAUUCUAGAAUAAUAUCAGGUAUAACAGUACAGAAUACUGUUAACGUUAUUAGAACCAAGAUUUUCAGUGUCAGUGAAGAGAAACAGAUAUAAAAUAAAUAAUUUAGUCAAAAAUCAUGUGAUGCUAUAUCUGAACUGCAAAUAGUGUACAUACAUGUCUUUACCAUCAUGUAUGUAUGUCACAGUUUAGUCCACGGCAAAAACCUGGAAGCAGUGACCGUCAUGGUAAAUUGCAUUGUUUGUUCCAGCCAUUCUCUGUCCUUCUCCUGGAUGCACUGGCCUUUCAGCUGCCCCUUCCCAUAUGGGGGGAGUAAGCUUUCCAGGGUGAGAAGAUUCACAGCUUGGAGAAAUGGCCCUGUGAGGUGCAAGGUAUUCAGCUCAAAGGGAGGAGGCCGAGUCAGUAGAAGGCCCAACAUUUUUUCUUUUUCUUUUUUGCCUUUUCUAGGGCCGCUCCCAUGGCAUAUGGAGGUUCCCAGGCUAGAGGUCGAAUCAGAGCUGUAGCCACUGGCCUACACCACAGCCACAGCUAUGCAGGAUCUGAGCCACAUCUGCAACCUACCCCACAGCUCACAGCAACGCCAGAUCCUUAACCCACUGAGCAAGGCCAGGAAUCGAACCCACAACCACAUGGUUCCUAAUCGGAUUCAUUAACCACUGAGCCACGACAGGAACUCCAAAAGACAGUUUUCAAUGUUGCCAGGGGGAAAACAUGAUUUUUUUUCCAAUUAUCAUCCGAGGAGGGAGUAGGUCACAAGGGUGGGUUUAUUCCCAGGGUGUGGGGAUGAAGGCGCCAUCAUUAACCCUUGAUGAGGGGUCUCCUAGUGGAGCUUUAAUGGUCACAGUUGCCAAGCUCUCAUCAAAAAUGCUGUCUCUCUUCUGAAUUCUUCUUCUCUCCCAUUUCUUUACUCACAGGGCUAAUUCUCUGCUAAGACCAUGGGUAAAUUUAGGUUGUUCUAAAUUAUGUACUAGGUAUUAUGCGCUGGGCUCUAGGAAUAUCAUAUUUGAUGGAUCAAAGACAACUGAGUGAAUCGGGAGUUAAAUUUUAAAUUGCUGCCAUGGCCUCUUUGUUCCAUGGAAUGGACUGGGCUUUCCAGUCGUUGGGCAGGUGGCCUGGGUUCCACGUGCUCUGCUGGGGCUCUGGAGCACGAGGGAUUCCUGACCGUCAUGAAGGUACUGAAGGAACAGCCUCCAUCCUGGUGGAAGGCAACUGGGGAUGCAUAUGGUGAAGAAGAAACUAAAAUUCACUUAGGCACUUGGCAUGAGAGCCCUUUGAUGAGCAGGGAGGAGAAAAAGAACAAAUAAAUCAGGGAAGAUGAUCUUGCACAUACUGUACUUUCACUUCUUGGCUAGCAAAAAACACAUAAAUUUAAUCAGAGGUUUAGUUAUGUUCCUAAAGAAAUAAAUCCCCGAAAUAAGUGAACCCUGAGCCCGUUUUUGUCAAUAGAACAUGGCUCAAAAUGUGUUUUUUAUUGUUGUUGUUUGUGUGUUGGCCUCACUCCUUGGGCCAGAGACUGAAGCCAUGACCCAGCAGUGACCUGAGCCACAGCAGUGACGAUGCAGGAUCCUUAACCCACUGCACCACCAGGGAACUCUAUCAAAAUGCGUUUGAACCAAUUUUAACAUAUAAACUUUCAAGAAAUGAAUACAUUUUAACUGCAUACUAAACACAUCUAAUUUAUCUUUUAAAUCACCUGUCAUAUAUUUGCACACAACACAUUAAAAUCCUAGGACACACAUUUGGUGGGCCAAGUUUAGGAAGUUUCCCUCUACGGCACUGUCUUUUUUCUCAGGUGGACUCUGCAUCCCACCAGACCCCAGCCUGACACCUCCACACACAUUGUAUUUUUAAAUUUCACAAUUUCCAAUAUAAAAAUGGAUCACAGCAAAGCCUUGAAGGACCAGUCUUACUCGGUGAUUGUUUUUGAAUAUCUUAAAGCACUUGAUAUUUAAUGAGGGUAAGAUUUUAAGGUCCUAGAUGGAAUACAGACUCUAACUCCUCUUACUGCUGAGGGUUCUCUUUCCAGAUCUGCUGUAUGCUUUGAGACGGAGUUCUGAUGCAGUAGGUGUUAUGAUGUCAUAGCUACCAAAACAUACCCUCCCGCCCAACCCAGCUUGGCAAACAGAAGGGGGCCCAGAGUAACCCCUAAUAUCUUCAAAUUCCAAAAUCUUAGGGCACACUUCUGGUUGAUUUAGGCAACAUGAACCAAUCAACAGUCACAAUCUGAUUGGCUAAUGAGGCAGAAUCCUAUAAACCCAUGACUAAUCCAACAGAAAUCCCAUAAGUAAGACUGUGAGAAGGACCACUAUCCAGAAGAAGGAUGAAGAGGGCAGGAUAUCCAUACGGAAGAGCAUCUAGGUAGAGGAAACACCCCAGUGGCAAAGUCAUGGAAUAGGCUCUUUGAGAAAAUAAGUUGAGUGGUUUACAAACUGAAUGCUUUGAAGACAGGCCCAUCUUCAUAGACAGCAGUGACUUUUGUUCAGAUGGUCUAAUUCCAGAUUAACAAAGUCAGAAUACAUUCGUUCUCCAUCUUCCUAGAAAGCCUAAAUUUUCCACAGCUAUUGAGAAUUUGGUUCAGGUAAAUUUUCUCUUUUCAAAGUUCAUAAAGAUAAGUGCAAAGCUGGGGAAUUCUAAGUCAUGCCAUUAUGCAUUAUUAAUAACUUCCCUCACAUUAGUAUCUUAGAUUAGCUGAACUGUCAAGGAAAAACUUGUACGGAAUGAAUUUAUACAGCAAGAAUUUGGGUACCUAUUUUCCUGAUGCAGUGCCUAGGGAAAAUAGGAAAUAAAGUUUACAGUCCAAU
rnacentral:lncRNA from 1 species